rnacentral:lncRNA from 1 species
AGUAUUCAGUACGAGGGCACGGAAUCAAGCUACAGCAAAUAAUUUAUUUGGUAAGCUCACUAUUAAUGAACUUAAUGUAUGAAUUUAUUACCACAUGCUUUUAUUAACAUAAAAGUUGAUGCUGCAUAUAGCUGCUUAAAAUUUGUAUUGUUUUCACGUUAUUUAUAAAUAAGUAUAUACUAACAGCGUUUUCAAUUAAUAUUAAUGUCUUCACUGGCACAUUCUAUAAUCAAAUGUACAAUCCAACAGCGAACAGCAAGACAAUGUACUUAUUUUGCCAUUGCACAAUUCGCGAAUUUUGUACAAGGGCGAACAGCAAGAUGAUAUACCUAUUUUGCUAUUUCCAGCUUUUUAAAGAGCACCUUAAUACAGAGGAUAGCGUACAACUCUAGCACGGAUUUGUUGAAGCACUUCCUAGAGGCAAACAUGCAUACUUUUCUGGGUUUGCACAUAAUUUGCGGACGACAACACCUAGAAACUUAAUAAUUAGCGACAAAUAUUAAGCUUCUAUACGUGCAUCGUAUGACUUGUUUGUGAGUCUAAGGACUGCGGAUAGACUAUUUAGUAUUUUUGCACUAUAAAAAGCAACUAAUUCAAAGAGUUGUAUCUAAGAGCUAAAUACCAAUUAAGAAGAGUAUUUUGGCCAAAUACAGCCUGAAGGCGCAGCCCGACGACUAUAUAUAUGGAUUUAAUGCCUUGUAAAGAGGAGCAAGUUUCUCUUAACACGUUUUCCCUGACAAGUUUUAUUUGCUCGUGCAUAUGUAUGCCAAAAAAUUAACAAUUUUCCUUGGCAAGGAGACUUGAUGUUCCAAAGUUAUGUGACUAUAACUGGGCUUUGUAUUCAUUUAUAAACCAGAGUAGUGAGCGAAAAUAUGAACGACAGGUAAAUGUUUAACAACAUUCUGUGCACAGGAGCAACAAACUUGCCAAGGGAAUAUUGCCAAGUAAAACUUCUCAAAAUACACACGAGAAGGUAAUCUUGUCAAGGAAAACUUGAUCGUCUCUAUUUGGGGGUAAAAGCCGUUGUUGAACUAUUUUACUGCAUGGUGUAUACGAAUGAUGGUCCGGAAGCCCAGCAAAUUUCAAAAGCCACAAAAGAGAAGAUCUUUGUUUGAUGUCUUUGCACGUCUUACCUCAGAUUUUUCCCUAUUGGGUGACUAUACGAAAAUACAAUGAGCUAAAUCACCGUGACCAAAAUUAACAUAAACAUAGACCAAAACAUAAUUAUACAAUGACUUAUGUUUAGUUUCCAAACAAUCAUAUCUUCAAAGACUAUGAGUUCGUAAAGGAAGGCUGGGAGAUCAUUGCACUCUUGCAUUUACAAUCAGCAUGAGAUUACAAGAUAAAGGAGAGCAAAAAUAUUAUAUUAAUAAUCAAAGUACUUAUUGAUUAUGCUUCGUAUUGAUAGUUUACAACAUGCCAAAGUCAUUUCGACUAAUCCACUCCCACCUCCCUCCAAGGACUUAGGGGCUGAUUACAUGGACCGGGCCAGCUCGGCACCAUGUAAUCAGCACCUUACUUGCCGGUUGCAGGCUAUUUGGAUUUUGAUUAUACCCUUCUUUUUAACACCACGCGAUCGUUUCUUUAGUAUGCAUGACCGUGCCCUAUCGUCUUCCAGCCUGCAAGCCAAAAAAAUAAGCCUCUGCCGAGGAGAAAGUCGUUCAUACCGUAAAAAUCAAUUAUAUAUGAUGUUAUUGAAGAAUGGGGGUGCGGUUGGUGGUGGGCAGGGCUGGGGUAAAUAAAUAAAGGAGCUUAUUGAUUAAUAGAGGGUUAUACUAACAGUAAAUUAUUUUUUCAAGUUCCUGACGAUGAAACCUCAUCAACUACUUUUCGCUUUCGUCAUUCUGUCAAGUUGUCAUAAUAUGGUGGUUGGUCUCCACGAACGAGAUCUUGCGCAGGCGCGUGCUGGGGCUCCACAUUCAAAUUGUCGCAACGCGUUGUUUGAUAUAUUUGCGAAAGGCUGGUACUUACAUGGCCGGGACUAUGGAUGCUGUAGCAAUUAUGAUGGCUGCUGCCUAUAUGCAUCAGCAUUUUGUUAUUGGCAUGACGUUUAUUGUUCUUGCUGCCAACAUGGCGUGCUUUUAUGUGGCUUUGGAUGCAGAAAAGAUCCAGUUAAAUGCAACUAAGUAACUUGUACUUUUCAAUGUUACGAAACUUUAACUUUGUGCAUGUCAGUAUUUUAGAUUUUUUAAAUUAUGAUUUUAAGGCUACGAGGUAUAGUUCUUGUAAUUUUAUUCAACUUUUUGUAUAGUACCAAUUUCUAGUCUGUAUUAAUUAAAAAAUUAGUUUUCUGGUUUGAUUCUUCUUGAUUUGUUUUGAUUUGCGAAACAACCUUCUUUUGCCCUUUGUAUCAUGUAAUUAUAGAAGGAUGCUCAAUCGUCUGAGAUACAAGGGCAAGUUGAGAACGAUGUUAUAUAUUUGGGAUGUUAUAAUGUUAUCGU